rnacentral:rRNA from 1 species
CAGCAGCCGCGGUAACACGAAGGGGGCUAGCGUUGCUCGGAAUGACUGGGCGUAAAGGGCGCGUAGGCGGCCAUUCAAGUUAGAUGUGAAAGCCCUGGGCUCAACCUAGGAAUUGCAUUUGAUACUGUUUGGCUUGAGUUCGGGAGAGGUGAGUGGAAUUCCCAGUGUAGAGGUGAAAUUCGUAGAUAUUGGGAAGAACACCAGUGGCGAAGGCGGCUCACUGGACCGACACUGACGCUGAGGCGCGAAAGCGUGGGGAGCAAACAGGAUUAGAUACCCCCGUAGUCCCUGUCUCUUAUAC